AGAACAUCCAAUAGUCAAAGGCAUAUGCAAUACAAAUCGUAUAGCGAGAAAUAGUCCUAUAAUUCCUAUAAUAACUACAACCUAUAACUUCUUACCUGGGAAUAUUGAAGACUCAUGUUAAAAGGAACCACCAGCUUUCAUACGUUCUGAGCAAGGAACUUAAACGUUAGCUUUUUUACAUGGCACAUAUUGCACUUUUACUUUCUUCUCCAACACUUUGUUGUUUCAUUAUUUAUUUGAGGCUAGAUUGAUAGUAUUUAUGUACUAUAUUAAGUUAAAAUAUGUGUUCAUUCAGUAUUGUUGUAAUUAUCAUUUACAAAUUUAAAAAUCAGCUGAUUAAUCGUAUCGUCUUUUUUUGGUCCUCCAAUAAUCGGUAUCGGCGUUGAAAAAUCCUAAUUGGUCGACCUCUACUAAUUACCUGGCGCCAUCAGCACAGUUUAAGAAACUGAAUAUCUUGUCUAUUUACGAUGUUAAUGUAAGCCAAUUAUGCACUUUCAUCAAUACUCAUAUCUCCCAGACAGUUUACCUAAACCCUUCAAUGGAUUCUUCCAGGUUAAUUCUGAAAUCCACCUAUAUAACACAGGACACUGCGAUAACCUUCAGCCUCCCCACUGCCGCACCUCACAUAGUCAAUUCUCUAUCAGAUAAAGAGGUACUAUACUCUGGAAUUAUUAUCUUCACAUUGCCAAAACAUCAUCAUCCCUCAAUAAUUUCAAGCGAAGACUGGGGGUCUGCCUGAUGAACCAAACUACUCAGUAAUCUCCUCCAUGAAGACUGGAGGUCAGCCUGAUGAACCAAACUACUCAGUAAUCUCCUCCAUGAAGACUGGGGGUCAGCCUGAUGAACCAAACUACUCAGUAAUCUCCUCCAUGAAGACUGGGGGUCUGCCUGAUGAACCAAACUACUCAGUAAUCUCCUCCAUGAAGACUGGGGGUCAGCCUGAUGAACCAAACUACUCAGUAAUCUCCUCCAUGAAGACUGGAUGUCAGCCUGAUGAACCAAACUACUCAGUAAUCUCCUCCAUGAAGACUGGAGGUCAGCCUGAUGAACCAAACUACUCAGUAAUCUCCUCCAUGAAGACUGGAGGUCAGCCUGAUGAACCAAACUACUCAGUAAUCUCCUCCAUGAAGACUGGAGGUCAGCCUGAUGAACCAAACUACUCAGUAAUCUCCUCCAUGAAGACUGGGGGUCAGCCUGAUGAACCAAACUACUCAGUAAUCUCCUCCAUGAAGACUGGGGGUCAGCCUGAUGAACCAAACUACUCAGUAAUCUCCUCCAUGAAGACUGGGGGUCAGCCUGAUGAACCAAACUACUCAGUAAUCUCCUCCAUAUAGCCUAACUCACACACAUGCACACUCAUUUAAACAAAACAAGUAUUUAUUUUUGGGUGAUUACUGAUCAGUUCAUUUAUACAUGUAUAAUUAGUAUGUUUUGUUAUCUGUUUUAUUUUGGACUUGUGUAUUGUGUACAGUUUUUAUUGUGGUUUUUAUAUAAUUCUUUGGGCUUCUAACCACACCUGCAAACUGUUUUUUAAAUGUUUUUAUCUGUAUUGUUGUCUACCACUUGUUUUGUUGGGUGCGAGUAAAUAAAACUAGACAGACAGACAGAUAGAGGGGGGAGUAGGGUGUCUGUUAGAUCUGGAACUCUGUCCUUAUCUUUAAAAAGACUCAAAUGGUUUCCCCACAAACCAUCACAAUCAUCAUGCAUGUGUUUCAGAGCAUCUCUGCUUUUCAGUGUUGUUGUAUGCAUUCAGCUGUUUCCUUUGGUGAUGAGUGGUGACCUCAGGAAUAAAGAUUGUCCUCUGUCUGUCUCUCUCUCUCUCUCUCUCUCUCUGUAUGUGUGUCUUUCUCUGUGUCUCUCUUUCCCUCUCUCUCUCUCAGGUCUGGAGCUGAACGGGAUGGGGGUUGAUAAAGGGGAGACUCCUCCUCCCCUGCCCGUGAAGGGCAUCUCUGCUGAUUAUGGGAACCUGCUAGGAGAUAAUCAAGACUUGACGAGUCCCUCCACCCCUCCCCUGACACACCAUCAAAGGCAUCUGCCACCACCUCUUCCCAGCAAGACCCCUCCUCCCCCUCCUCCUAAGACCACCAGGAAACAAGCCUCCAUCGAUUCAGGAAUUGUACAAUGAACAAUGACAUUAAGACACCCGAUAUAAAAAAACAAGGUUCUUUCCCCUCUGUAAUCUCUUCCCCCCAUGCGUUCCAAAAUGGCGGCCUAUUUCCAAUAGUGCACUACUUUGGACUACUUUUGACCAUAGGGCUCUGGUCAAACGUAGGGCCACUAUAUAGUGAAGAGUGUGCCAUUUGGGGAAACAGCAACAGUCUGACCAGGAGUGAAAGAAGAGUAUCUCACUCAGGUAACACUCCUUAUUGAGCCACUCAUUUUGGCUGUGUCCCAAACGGCACCCUAUUCCCAAUAUAGUGCACUACUUUUGACCACGGCCCCGAUAAGGCUCUGGUAAAUAGUAGUUCACUACGUAGGGAAUAGGGUGCCAUUUGGGGCAGAGCCUCAUUGGAUUCUUUCAUUUUUGCCUCAAGUGUGAUGAUGCGGUCUACUUUACCGUAGGUAGAUAGGUGAAUCAGUUUCACAUGAUUACUGGUCACUGAAUUUAUUGAUGCUAUCUAUCAUCUAUGACUCUAUUCUCCACUUGAUACCACUUAGUUCAGGCCUUUGUAAUGCUAUGAGGUCGUGUUCCACCUAUAGAAUUAGAAUGAGUGAAAUGAAUAUAGAAUCAGAACCAGGUGAAUGAAGCGUUCUCUGGUUCUGUCUUUUACACUUUGACCAAUAGACAGGCUGGUGAGUGACGACCAACGUUCUGACCCUUCCCACCUGCUCUUAGAAACCGGG
rnacentral:lncRNA from 1 species